GAAGGAGGCGGCAAAAGGAAAAAGGGAGAUCAGGAAGCAGCAGGGUCCGCUGGCAGAGCCUCUACGGGGAGGGGAGAAAGGAAGCAAGAAGGGUGGGAAAGCGAAGAAACAGGCCGGCAGGCGGACCACCCUGAGGCGCCAGGAGUGGAACAAAAGCGACCUUUCUUCUUUCCUCACUUCAGCUUCGCGGCUGGUUCUUCACACCAUCAGGCCCCUCAUCCAAAAGUCUACCUGGAGGCGGAAUAGCAGCCGCCACGGCCGGGCCCUUCCCUUCCUUGAGCCAGGCCGGAGUCCGUGCUUCAGCUUCCCCCUCACCCCCUUCCCUUCUUUUCUCCCUCUCUCCGCCCUUACUUUGCCCUGCCGCGGCCUGCACNAGCCCUUCGAGGGACGCUUCCGAUUCCCGGGGUCUGCCGAGGUCCGGCCGACGCUACGGUCCGCGCUUUCCCCCUUCUCCCUCCGUUGGGCCGUUCUUACCUGAGCGCGCCAGGCCUGCCUGGCUGCCUGGGCCUCUCCUGAGGAACUAACGGCGGGAGCGCGGCCAAAAGCGCUGCAGCCGAGUCCGGAGGAGGAAGAAGAAGCCGCACUCCGGGGCCUGCCGGGAUCUUUUCUGUCUCCUCACUCUCAGCCGCUUCUGGCCCUCCCUCUCUUGGCCUAGCCGAAGAAAGGAAAGCGGGGAGUGAGUGGGGGAGGAACCAGUCGAGUUACCUCAGAAACAGAGACGGAAGGGGGAGAGAACGGGUUAAAAAACCCGAGAGAAGCGGGCACGAGUCUCCGUUGCUUUAAGUGCUCCCGGCCGCCGCCGCCAUCACGCUGCCGCAGCCGCUUACUAGUACUGCCUCUUUCUUUCCCCCCUCCCCUCGUCCGAUGGAAACCCCUGGCGUGAUGUCAGCCCUGGGACAGAGCGGGAAGGGGAGGGAGGAGUCAGGAGAAAGGAAUAAAGCGAGCGAGGAAGCGGCCGGGUCGGCCUUGUGUGUGCUUUCUUCUGCUGCAGCAGGCAACCAGGGUGGCGAGCGCGCGACGAGGUGGAGGCGGCGGCGAAAUGACGAGCCAGUAAGUCUUCCUGCCCUUCCACUGGAGCUACUUCAGUUCAGAAUAACUCAAGUUGAAAGGAUGCACACACUCUAACCUCUAUCACUAGAUGGGGAAUAGAAGGUGCCAGAGAGGUUGCAUUUGGUGUCCAUUAAAAAAGGAAAGACUAAUCUGAACCUAUCUCAGCCAUUGAUGGACCACAGAACUAAGCACAAACUUAUAUUUUGAAUGUAUCUGUCAUGUAUAUUCACUGGGUUAUUGUGUACCGCAUAUUCACUGUGUAUCUGUUAUGUAUAUCCAUUGAGUUACCAUGUAGUUCAUAUUCACUGAAUUACUUUAUAUUUUAUGUUCAUUGAGUUAUCAUGUAUCUAUCAUGUAUAUUUACUGAAUUAUGUUUUAUAUGCAUGAAUGCACUCAUGUUACUGUACUACUGUGUUUCUACAGUGUAUGUAGUUAGUGUGUAGCAUGGGGACAGAUCAAAGGGAGGGGGGAAAGUAGUUUGCAUAAGUAGAGGCCAUGGCCAAAUGGCAUACAGUUCAAGGCAGGGCAGUUGUUUCUGCUUGUAAGGAACUUUCACACUAACAAGAUGUAAGGAGGAGAAGAGUAUUUUUGUUAGUGGUUAAAGGUUGGAAUCACUUUCUGUAAUUAUCAGAUUCCUU
rnacentral:lncRNA from 1 species